rnacentral:rRNA from 1 species
UACAGAGGGGGCAAGCGUUGUUCGGAAUUACUGGGCGUAAAGGGCGCGUAGGCGGCCUUCUAAGUCGAACGUGAAAUCCCCGGGCUCAACCCGGGAACUGCGUCCGAUACUGGAAGGCUUGAAUCCGGGAGAGGGAUGCGGAAUUCCAGGUGUAGCGGUGAAAUGCGUAGAUAUUAGGAAGAACACCGGUGGCGAAGGCGGCCCACUGGUCCGGUACUGACGCUGAGGUGCGAAAGCGUGGGGAGCAAACAGA